CGCGCCAUCUCGCUCGCUCGGGGUGCUGUGCGCCGCGCUCAAGGCUCCGGCCGGCAAACCCGCCUCGCCGCGUCCCCCGGGUCUACACAGAGCUCCCUUAUAGACAGUCAUCAGAUUUGAUUAAUGAACUCCAUCUGGGGACACUAGGGCUUUGUUAGCCUGGAUUAAGACUUGAAGAUCUUUGCUUAUAAAUGCUUGCCAAAAGAUGCUUGUGAUUAAUCGGCUAUUUCCAUUCUACAGAAUGCUAGUCUCUGGGUAUAAAUAAUAAAUAUGUGAAAUCUC